AACGAACGCUGGCGGCAUGCCUAACACAUGCAAGUCGAACGAGACCUUCGGGUCUAGUGGCGCACGGGUACGUAACGCGUGGGAACUUGCCUUUAGGUUCGGAAUAACUCAGAGAAAUUUGAGCUAAUACCGGAUGAUGUCUUCGGACCAAAGAUUUAUCGCCUUUCGAUGGGCCCGCGUUGGAUUCGCUAGUUGGUGGGGUAAAGGCAUACCAAGGCGACGAUCCAUAGCUGGUCUGAGAGGAUGAUCAGCCACACUGGGACUGAGACACGGCCCAGACUCCUACGGGAGGCAGCAGUGGGGAAUAUUGGACAAGGGGCGAAAGCCUGAUCCAGCAAUGCCGCGUGAGUGAUGAAGGCCUUAGGGUUGUAAAGCUCUUUUACCCGAGAUGAUAAUGACAGUAUCGGGAGAAUAAGCGCCGGCUAACUCCGUG
rnacentral:rRNA from 1 species